AUUGAACGCUGGCGGCAGGCUUAACACAUGCAAGUCGAGCGGAGAUGAGGUGCUUGCACCUUAUCUUAGCGGCGGACGGGUGAGUAAUGCUUAGGAAUCUGCCUAUUAGUGGGGGACAACAUUCCGAAAGGAAUGCUAAUACCGCAUACGCCCUACGGGGGAAAGCAGGGGAUCUUCGGACCUUGCGCUAAUAGAUGAGCCUAAGUCGGAUUAGCUAGUUGGUGGGGUAAAGGCCUACCAAGGCGACGAUCUGUAGCGGGUCUGAGAGGAUGAUCCGCCACACUGGGACUGAGACACGGCCCAGACUCCUACGGGAGGCAGCAGUGGGGAAUAUUGGACAAUGGGCGGAAGCCUGAUCCAGCCAUGCCGCGUGUGUGAAGAAGGCCUUUUGGUUGUAAAGCACUUUAAGCGAGGAGGAGGCUACCUGGAUUAAUACUCUAGGAUAGUGGACGUUAUUCGCAGAAUAAGCACCGGCUAACUCUGUGCCAGCCGCCGCGGUAAAAC
rnacentral:rRNA from 1 species